rnacentral:rRNA from 1 species
UUGCCCUACGGGGCGCAGCAGUGAGGAAUAUUGGUCAAUGGGCGGGAGCCUAAACCAGCCAAGCCGCGUGAAGGAAGAAGGCGCCAGGCGUCGUAAACUUCUUUUGUCGGGGAACAAAGGGCGCCACGUGUGGCGUUGUGAGUGUACCCGAAGAAAAAGCAUCGGCUAACUCCGUGCCAGCAGCCGCGGUAAUACGGAGGAUGCGAGCGUUAUCCGGAUUUAUUGGGUUUAAAGGGUGCGUAGGCGGUACGG